ACCUCUCUGCCUUCAUAAGGAGAUCCAGCCCAGCAUUCAUCGCCAGUCCGUUGCCUAUCUCGGUUUCCCAUUCCACGAGUGUCCACCUGGGAGAUCUUCCUCAAGCUUCGCUCCAGCCCCCCUCAAGUCACGCCUCGCUCCUCGCUCGCCACGGGCCCCAAGACAUCAGGCAGUCCGCGGUGAUUCUCUCCGCACAUCUCGCUCCGCUCCAGCCACGCCACGCUCUCAGCCUAGCUCUCAAGACGCUACGUGCUGCUGCUACGCCGACGCAUCUCCAGAGCUCCAAGCUAGAAGUAACAAACAAACUGAACUGUUUAUUUCCUGCUUGGAAAUUAAAGACUCUUUGCACUUCGCUACUCGCCUGAGUUUCCUUCCAGGUUUUCAGCAUCUGGGUCUGCCUCGUCCAACUUACCAUGACAGAACGGACUGGCCUGAACACAGACCCAGCUGACCCUGCAGGGCUCCGAUUAGCCGCCACUCGUCAGGGAUUAGCCUUGGGACGGCAAGCCGAAUCUCUGUCUCAGAUGGCCACGGCCCAACAGGAUCUUUUCCGCCGACUGGAUGGCAUCACUCAGACUUUAAUGGAACUAACGGGCCAAGCGUCAGCUAACGCCACAGCGUCCAUUCCCCCUGCCGCCAGCUUCAGCACUUCCGGUUCCGGUUCAAACCCCGAAAACUUUCGCCUUCAACCAGAGACAUUUCAUGUCGUUAAAUGACACCACUAAGGAACAUCUGUGCUCCCAACCAGAGACUAAUACUUUUGAAGAACUUGUUUCCACAGCCCUGCGAUCGGACAUUCGCAUUCGGGAACGACAGAAGGAGCGUCUUCGGCAAGAGAAGAGGGGUCCAUCAGAGCCUAACAAUCUCACAACGUUCCCGGAAUCCUAUGUACCGAUCAAAAGGUUCCUGUGAAAGACUCGGAUGAACCCAUGCAGAAUGGACACUCCAAGCUUUCACCAAAGGAACGUAAGAGACGUAAGUACGAGGGAGCUUGCUUUUACUGUGGACUUCCAGGACACCUAGUAAGCCAAUGCUCUUAAAGUUUAAAAGCCAAGACUCCCCGCUAGAAGACAGGCCGCGGGCGGGUUCAUCAGUUUCUCCCUCAGAGAAAAGAUUUCUAUUUGUUCCUGUCAAGUUAAGUUCUGCCAGUGGUUGUCAUGAUUUCAAGGUGCUAGUUGACUCUGGCGCUGAACAGAGUUUUAUUGACUAUGACCUCAUUUCCAAGUUAAGUCUGCCCACAGAAACCCUGGAACAGCCCAUAGAGACUGCCGGCCUAGGGGGUCAACUGCUUUCCCAGAUCACACACCGUACUAAACCUGUACUCCUCAUCACGUCGGGUAACCACCGCGAGCACAUUCAAUUUUUUGUCACUAGAACCUUGCAAACACCCAUCGUUCUUGGUUACUCCUGGUUGCGUACCCACAACCCUCAGUUGGACUGGGUACACUGUAACAUCUCCACCUGGAGUGCCUUUUGUAUGGCUAAUUGCCUCAGAUCCGCUGAACCUCUCAUCCGUGCCAACAGGUCUCCGAACAUAUUGACCUUACUCUCGUCCCCUCAUGCUACCACGAUUUAAAAUCUGUCUUCAGUAAAUCUAAGGCUGGUUCUCUGCCAUCUCACAGGCCCUAUGAUAGCGCCAUUAAUCUACUUCCCGGGGCACCACUCCCUAAGAGUAGACUAUUCAACCUGUCUGGGCCAGAGAAAUUAGCCAUGGAGAAAUAUAUCCAGGAGGCCCUUACUGCUGGUCUUAUUAGACCAUCCUCCUCUCCAGUGGCCGUAGGUUUUUUCUUUGUGGAAAAGAAAGACAAGACCUUUCGUCCCUGCAUAGAUUUCCGGGAACUUAAUUAAAUAACCAUUAAGGACAAAUAUUCACUUUCCCUUAUCAGCUCUGCUUUUGAUUCUGUUCAGGAAGCGCGAUUAUUCACCAAACUCGAUCUGCGUAAUGCUUAUCAUUUAGUUCGCAUUAAGGAGGGGGAUGAGUGGAAAACUGCAUUUAACACUCCAUUGGGACAUUUCGAGUAUCUUGUCAUGCCCUUUGGCCUCACGAACGCCCCCGCAGUUUUCCAAUGUCUGGUUAACGACAUCCUCCGCGACUUCCUCAACCGUUUUGUUUUUUGUUUAUCUGGAUGAUAUUCUCAUUUUCUCUCCCGACAUGUCUCAACACACCCACCACGUACGACUUGUUCUUGAACGUCUGCUGGCUAAUCUGUUUUAUGUGAAAGCUGAAAAAUGCGAGUUCCAUGCCUCCACGGUCUUGUUCCUCGGUUAUAUUUUCGAAGCUGGUAAUAUCAAACCUGAUCCUACAAAAAUCGAAGCCGUCUCGAAUUGGGAACCCCCCGAAAAUCGUAAGAAGCUUCAGCAAUUCUUACGAUUCUUAGGGUUUUUACCGGAGGUUCAUUCGUAAUUAUAGCUCCAUAGCUUCCCCCCUCACACAACUCACCUCCACCAAGAAGCCCUAUUUCUGGAACCCUGAGGCUCAGUCAGCAUUCGAUAGACUCAAAGAACUCUUUAUUUCAGCGCCCAUCCUCAUCCAACCUGACCCCUCUAGUUGAUUCAUUGUAGAGGUGGACGCUUCGGACACUGGUGUAGGGGCCGUCCUCUCUCAACGGGAAGCCAUGCGCCUUCUUCUCCCGAAAACUAUCCCCCGCCGAGAGAAAUUAUGACGUGGGUAGCCGGGAACUCUUGGCUAUAAAGCUAGCCCUAGAGGAAUGGCGUCACUGGCUGGAGGGAGCUCAACACCCGUUUAUCGUUUGGACGGACCACAAGAACCUGGCCUUCUUGAGAUCCGCCAAGAGACUAAAUUCACGACAAGCCCGUUGGUGUCUUUUCUUUGACAGAUUCAAUUUCUCCAUUACCUACAGACCCGGAAGUCGAAACAUCAAACCAGAUGCACUAUCUCGACAGUUCAGUUCCAGUUCCAGUUCCACUCCAUCUACCAUCCUGCCAUCCACCUGCAUCAUAGGCAACCUCGCCUGGGAUGUCGAGUCCAGGGUGUUACAGGCCCCAUUGCACCUCCUAACACACUUUAUGUUCCCGAUUCCCUCCGUUCAGAUGUCCUCUCCUGGGAUCAUGCCUCCCGCAUUGCCUGCCACGCUGGAGUCCACAGAACGCUAAACCUCCUGAAACGGCAUUUUUUCUGGCCAUCCAUGGAAAGGGAUGUCAGAGAAUACAUUGCCGCAUGCACCGUCUGUGCCUGUUCCAAAACUACCAAUUCUCCUCCAGCUGGUUUCCUUCAACCCCUUCCGGCACCGGGACGUCCCUGGUCCCACUGUAAAAGACCCAUUUUAAUUGUUUUCUUAUUAUUGUUUAACAUUUCCUUUGAUUCAAGAUGCCCUUAAUUUCAAAAGAAGUAUGUUGAAGAUGUAAAAGAAAAUGACAAAAAGGUGUUAAUGUUUGUAAGAUGUAUUUUGUUUUGAAGACCUUUAUUGUGAAGGUUCCACUUACUUCCGCUUUUUCUGUGAAGUGUCAGUUUAACAGAAACCAAAAAAACGGUUAACAGCUGAUGCUACGGCAACAAAGGAAACAGAAAAAAAAGGACGGACGGAUAACUGUGUAAAGCAGUAAUUUGUUUUUGGCAUCUAGCUGGAAGGCGAACAGCUCUUACGGUGUGACUAUGACUGUGGAGUAAACAAAUGGGUUGGAAUACCCCAUCAUAGUCCAUCAGUUACUAUGAUUGAGUCCAUCGUCUGAAUCAAUUCCGGCUGGAAUGCUACACCCACAUCGCCAUGGCCUUUAUCACUGGCCUGCCGCCUUCACAGGGUAAAUUUACGAGUUUAAAGCCGAAGUGAACAUACAGAGCAGCAAGUGAACGCCGCGCAGCACGCAGCACGCAGCACGCAGCAGAGCAGACCAACUAACUCAAAUGAACAGGAUCUCUGCAGCCCCUUAAGAAAGCCGUCUCCACCAAAGACAAGAUCUCUAAGUUUGUGUGAUGCUUCCACUGAGGAAGACAUUUUGGCUUUUUCAAUGUUGUAAAUAUAAUACUAAUUGCUAAUAUAA